rnacentral:rRNA from 1 species
UACGUAGGGGGCAAGCGUUGUCCGGAUUUAUUGGGCGUAAAGAGCGUGUAGGCGGUUUGGUAGGUCCGUUGUGAAAACCCGAGGCUCAACCUCGGGCCUGCAGUCGAUACGGGCAGACUAGAGUUCGGUAGGGGAGACUGGAAUUCCUGGUGUAGCGGUGAAAUGCGCAGAUAUCAGGAGGAACACCGGUGGCGAAGGCGGGUCUCUGGGCCGAAACUGACGCUGAGGAGCGAAAGCGUGGGGAGCGAACAGG